rnacentral:rRNA from 1 species
GUCCACGCCGUAAACGAUGAGUGCUGGAUGUCGGGGGUAUUCACCCCCUCGGUAUCGAAGCUAACGCGAUAAGCACUCCGCCUGGGGAGUACGGCCGCAAGGUUGAAACUCAAAGGAAUUGACUGGGGCCCGCACAAGCGGUGGAGUAUGUGGUUUAAUUCGACGCAACGCGAAGAACCUUACCCAGCCUUGACGUCCUUGGAACCUGGUGGAAACACCGGGGUGUCCUCGCAAGAGGAAGCCAAGAGGCAGGUGCUGCAUGGCUGUCGU